GAAGAGACAAUAGAGAUGAAUAAUACGGGAGGAAGGGCUUCUUCAUUUCCGUCCUCUUCCUCUUCCUCUUCCUCCUCCUUCUCCUUCUCCCCUCCUCUCUCCAAAUUAAAGAGAUUGUUUCUGAAUAACAUUCAGGAGUUGGAGUCUCUGCCAGAGGAGUGGUUUAAAAACCUAACUUCUCUUGAGACAUUACACAUUUGGAACUGUCCCAAUCUGACGUCACUUCCUGAAGGGAUGAGUCACCUCAUCUCUUUACAGACCCUGGAUAUCAGAGGCUGUCCCCAAUUAAAGCAAAGAUGCGAGAAGGAAAAUGGAGAGGAUUGGGAUAAGAUUUCUCACAUCCCAAAUCUUUACAUACCUUGAACUACUGCAUACGCUUCCCUGAAAGAACAUGACAUGGAUUUCAAAGAGACAGAAAGGAGGAAAGAAGAAAGCAGAUAUUUUGAAGUGCAAAGCAAAUUUUUGAAAGGGUGCCAGCAGGAAACAAGGGACUAUUGGUAAAAACAUCUCACAUCUUAGGUAAAUUUAGCUUUACAGAAGAGAUUACAGUGAAAUCUGCUGGAGUUGCUGCCAUGAAUAUUGUGUCCAAGAAAUUGAAGAAGAAACAUAACAUCACUAGCGUGAAGCUGCAUAAACAUGGGCGAUGCUAUAAAUGGCUGGGAGUUCCUUGCCAUGCAUUUGAGCGCUAGAUAUGCACAUUAUGUUACAAACAUCCGUAUGGGAGAUCCCGUGGCAACAGUGCUUUAUAGCCUAGUUACUAGAUGCAAGUCUACCAAUGCACUACGAAGACCCUCAUGCCCACCUGCAACAUGUAUAGAUGUGGGGCUUUGCUCUGCUGCCAUUGGAUAAAGACUUUGAUGCGCCUCUUCGUAACACCUUGAGGUUGUGGGAGCACUAGUUAGCAUUCAAGGUCCUAACCAUAUUGGCUUGAAUUUGGGUGAUAGUUUUAUGAAUAUAUUAAUGAAUAAACUAUUGAAUAUUUAUUUGUCUAUCAGUAUAUCUUAUAUAUGUUUAUCAGAGUGGAGCUCUUUUGGCGUGUGCGCGUGUGUUUCUUUGUAAUUUUCUAUGAGUAAAUUUUUUCUUUCUAAUUUGCUCUUUGCUCUUUGCUCUUUGCUCUUUUUUGUAAAUUUAGGAAUAGCAUUUGUGAAUAUUCUACUUGUUACAAAUUAUUAGAGAGAUAUUAAGUGAAGGUUUGAGAAGAGUGUGAUUUCCAUGUGCAGUGGUUCCGAGCAGAAAUCUUCUGAAAUAGGUUUCAUCAUGGGCGUUGAAUUUGAGAAACAAGACAGUAACAUCAUUUCAAUUUUUCUUGAAUUAUCGGGCUUUGAUGAUUUAAUUGGAUUCAAAAGUUCUGUGGAAGAAGAAUGUCAUGAUAUUGAUGAGGCAAGCUUGUGGUAUGGGAGGAGAAUUGGGUCAAAGAUGAUGGAUUUGAAGAGAAGACAGCCCUCAUGACUGCUACCAUGUUUGGAAGCAAGGGUGUGUUGAAUUAUAUACUGGAAACCAGCUGUGUUGAUGUUAACCAGGCUUGUGGUUUGGAUGGGCUUUUGCACCUCAUUUUGUUUCUGCUGCAGACUUUGCAAUUUCCACUGAGGUUAUUAAGAUCUUGCUUGAUACUUCUGCACUUCAUUUUGUCUUGUUGCAUACUGCUAACUAUGUACAGUAAAGCUUGUUCAUUUUAUUCUUUCUUUCAGUAAAACUUGUUCAUUUUAUACUUGCUGUUUCUUUGCUAUAUAAUAGUAAUUGUAUUUAAGUAAUAUUGUUUAAUAGAACAUGUAUUUGGGGUGGAUGUUGAUUUCUAUAAUCAUGCAUUUUGGAUAUGUAUUUGGGGUGGAUGUUAAUGAAUUCCUUCUUGUGUUUUAUUAAAAAAGAAUCUCUUUUCGUCUUCCUCGUAAGAUAAGAGAAGCUGUAGCAAAAAUAGGUGGUGGAAGAGGAGAAUGAAGUUUGCUACUACAACAAUUGUGGCCAACAUGGGAGGUCAUACAUUAGUUCCACCAUGUGAUGAAACAAUUUGAAGCACAAAGCAAAAAUUUGAAAGGGUGCCAGUAGGAUGUAGGGGACGAUUGCCAAAAAUUGCUCACAUCCUGGAGUUUGAAGGGGAUGAAACUGCCCACUAGUGGUACCAAAAGCCUCCUUAUAUAGGUUUCAUCAUGGGUGGUGAAUUUGAGAAACAAGAGGGUUUGUAGCAUCAUAUCAGUUUUGCUUGAAGAC